AACUUUAACAUUCUAAUGACCAGUAAUUAUCAAUGCAUCUUGAUUGCAUCUUUGAUCAAUUUCAGGCUGCAGAAGUUGUUUAAAAUCUUCAAUUUCUUUAUCUUUGGCAUUAGUGGUUGGUGCAUAAAUUUGAAUAGUCAUAUAAACUAGUCUUCCUUGUAAGUGUAUGGAUUUUAGCCUAUCAGUGACAACAUUGUACUUCAGGCUAGAUCUUGAAAUGUUCUCUUUGAUGAUAUGUAACGUCAUUCUUUUGACUCUGGUGGAAUAUCCAUGUUUGUAAGACUGCUCACAGACUGUUUUACCAGAGAGUUUUCUGGUACUGCAACAUCUACCACUAAUGUCUGUGAUCCCUUUGAAUUGGCAAAAUAAGAAUAGUGCUAUAGAUUUCUUCCAAAUACAGAAAACAUAAGUAUGAAAAUGUUCUUGCUGUUGAUUAUAUUCUUUACCAAUCUGUUUGUAUGGGAUUUUUGGUACUUCACUUGAAAAAUGAGUCCAAGGUACUGUGAUGUGAUUGUUUACUUUGUGUGGCCUUUCUAGCCAUGAUCUUAUAACAUCCACCCUGGUGCUUGGGCAGGACUGUGUGAUAGGGUAAUUGUGGCUCACCAAGGGGAUUGUUUAUUUUGCCUUCAAAGAGAACCAGUUCCAGAGCAAAGAGGAGGAUUCAACUCCCAUCAAGGAAGAACAGCCAAGAGCCGAGCAUAUAUUAUGGACCUGAGAUCCCUGCACUGAGAAGCUCCUAGAAGCAGGAGACUGAGAUAGAGAGAGGAAGCUGUAACCCUGAAGAUGCUUAAAUACAGACCAGAAGAGGAGUUUGGGGCUUGACACCUGACAUCUUAACACCAGUUCCUGUUUCUUGAGGAAGGAAGAGGUAAAAUAAAUCAGCGUUUGCUGUUUCCUUCUCCAUCCCCGGAAGUCCUGAUGAAGACCCUCUCAGGUAAGGAUUGACAGGGAGUGGCUUGGUUUACUAUUCAACUUUGUCCUUCAGUAACUUUGUUUAUGUCCUGCAUGUAAACUGUUGUGCAUUGAGAAGCAUUCUAAUUCUUGUGCAGAAGGACUAGACCUCCUGCAGAAUGACUAUAUUGUGCCUCCCUCGGGCACCCCUGUCUGCGCAGCACCCCCCAACGCCAACUGCCCAACCGCCUCUCUCCUGGCAUUCUGCUUCUAGAAGCAUGUUCUUUUGAUGCAGAGAUGCAGCACACACAGAAUCCCAGCUGGGUUACAGACUUGAACCUGAAGACCUUAUGCAGAAUGACAAUUUAUGAACCACUAAGCUCAGUACUAAAGCAGCUUAAAUACAGACCAGAAGAGGAGUUUGGGGCUUGACACCUGACGUCUUAACACCAGUUCCUGUUUCUUGAGGAAGGAAGAGGUAAAAUAAAUCAGCGUUUACUGUGUCCUUCUCCAUCCCCGGAAGUCUUCAUGAAGACCCUCUCAGCUUCUACUUGAACGUGAAUAUGAGCAACUGAUCAUCUGUUCUGCGGUCAGCCCCUGGCCUGAUUCUGACUCAUGAUAUUGACCUUCUCCAUCAUCACCUUCCACAAAUUUGAUUCCUAUCUAUUCUGCCUGGAAUAGUUCAUGAGUAUAGUCACCAUUUAUGUUCCUGACGAAAGACAUUAUGCUCAUUCUCAGGGCCCUGAGACCUCAUCUGCAGCAGGUGAAGGCAUUCGUGGAGAGAGGCGGUUUCCGUGCGUGCAGGCAAAGUGUGUGCUGAGAUGAGUCGCUGGAGACUGGGGUGGACUCCUCAGACCCAGGAUAGGCCUCUGGCAGGCAUUCUAUCAGGCAUUCCAAGCUGUGAAGUGCCUGGGAGGAGAAGGAAGAGAUUUCAGAGAAUGAACACAUACAGAGAGACAGGCAAGAGACGGUGAGUGGGGAUGUCUUGCCUACUGAUAUCCUCAGGAAAGUGGGAAAAUUGGACCCUGGCCUGCUAUGACAAUGCCCUGAAGCAGUCCGCACCAGGGGCUCCCUUGUGCCUGCAUAGCCUUUCCCAGGGUGUGCUCAAAUCCUGUGGCCACUAGGUGUCCUGGGUCACAAUGGAGGGCCCUGUGUCAUCUGCCUGUUGGGCUGGAUCUCUGCCAUUGGCUGAGUCUUGUCACCAGGCCCAUCAUAAGCUCUGCCCACUCUUCCUGUGGGGGGACUGUCUCCAUGGUGAUGGCAAAGAAGCCUGAGUUCCGCCCACCUGGCCUUGACUUCACCUACCUGGCCUGCUGACCCUCACUCAGACCUCUGUGUUGAUCAAAAUGAGUGUCCGCCAGUGGCCAGGUGUCAGCAUCUGGGAUAAAGGAUUGGGGACCUUGCCUGGGGCAGAAGGCAGCCUAGGUCUGUGGGUACCUGGAAGUCUUGUGACUUCUGCCGCUGCUGCCAGUGACAGAUGGUGACUCCCACACUCACAUAUCCCCUGGUGGCAGAAGGAUAGUGAUGGGCGGAGAAACAUGGCUCCGGAGCACACUUUAAAUGCGGCACCAGCCAAAGGCCAGGGCAAGGAGUGGACGUCGUGGAGCUUAAUUGCAAGCCAGUGAAGGGCCCAAGGAUUUCUCCUAUAUGUGGCAAACAGGUCAUCCGUGUCCCCACGUCCAUAAACCACUGGACUGCAGUGCCAGACUGCCAGGAUUUCGGCCUUGCCAUUGGAGCCCGUCCACAUACGCUGCGUUGCACCGGAGGCGGGGACAUGUAGACAGCAAAAAUUUGGAAAAUGGCAUCAUCUCUUCAAUUUCCCUAGCAUUGGCCUUUUUCAGUGGCAUGCUUUGUUUCCUAGUAGGAUAAGGCACUGACGGAGAAAGGCAGGAGUAUGUGUGUAGGAAAGGUGUGUGCCGAAAGGGUGACGACGUUGAGACCACGUUGGGAUCUUUAGUCCCAGGAAAGGCCCCUGGCAGGUGUGGGUCAAUGUUCUCUGCUCAUCCGAGUUGGCGGGGGAGGUUUUCACCAAACAAAGCAGCAGUGGAAUUAUUCAUAGCCUGAGAGGUUGCAUCUGCCCACAAGCUCCACCUGGCCAGGGUCCGCCCCUACUGUAUUGCCCAUGUCAAUCAACAGAAGCUAAGACCUUCCAGAGAGACUACCUGCUAUUGUCUACCCACCGGGAAGCGGUCCGGCCAGAAGCCUCCCCCGUUUCAUCUCCAGGCUCUCUGUCAGGCCCCUCAUACUUGUGAUGUGUCUCAGGGGUAGAAGGAAGAGAUUUCUCUGAAUGAACACAUCCAGAGAGGAGCCAUAGAUGCUGAGGAAGGGCGCCUUGUCUACUGAUAUCCUAGCGUAAGUGUAAAAGAGGUACCUGCCUGCUGUCCCAGUGUGUCGAACGUGUCCACAUCAGGGGUUGGCUACUGUAAAAUUAUUCCCUGGUGCCCUCGAUUUUGUGGCCAAAGACACGAGGGGCCGUUGUGUGUCCAUGGGUACAAUGGAGGGCUCUGCGGAACGGGCUGGUUAGGCUGGACUUCUCCUAUUGGCUCAGUGUUUGUGACUCGUCCCCGUCAGAAGUUCCGCCCAGCCUUCUGGUGGCUGUCUCCAUGAGGAUUGGGAAAGAAGCCCUAGGCCCCGCACUCGGCCUUCACCUGGCCUACCUGGCCUCUUUACCCUCAUCUAGACCGCUCUGUGCAUGAAAGAAAGGAUGUCGGCCACUGACCAAGCAUCCUCAUUUCCUUGGAAGUAUUAGGCUCCUUGCGUGGGCAGAAGACAGCCAAGGUCAGCCUGAGCCUAGACACCUAGUGACCUGUGACACUGCAGCCAGCGAUAGAUGUUGAUGUCCACGCUCAGGUAUCCGCAGUUGACGGAUUCAGAGUGGUCAGAGGAGAAGUGUAACUAGAGAUCACACACUCAUGAGGGCACGGGCCAAAGGUCAGGGAAAAUAGCUGAGGUCGUGGAGCUCUAGCGGAGCCAGUCAAGGGCCCAGGCCUCCCUCCUGUACGUGGCAAAGAGGUGUCACCUUCCGCAGAGUAUGCUGCCACCCGCAGACUCUGGACUGCUGGGGCCCUGGAUGCCCGGAUUUCGGCCUUGUGUUUGGAGAAGUGACGUGCAUGCAGUGUGCCACCGGGGGCUGUGGCCCAGCAGAAGCAAAAUCUUGAAAAUGGGAGCUUCAGUUGACUUUGCGUGUUCUCUCCCUUGGCUGAGUGCCAUCCUGUGUUUCCUAGCAGGAGAAGGCAUUCGUGGAGAAAGGCAGAUUCCAUGUGUGCAGGCAAAGUGUGUGCUGACAUGAUGAGACCCUGGAGACCAGGGUGGACUCUUCAGACCCAGGACAGGCCUCUGGCAGCUUAAAUACAGACCAGAAGAGGAGUUUGGGGCUUGACACCUGACAUCUUAACACCUGUUCCUGUUUCUUGAGGAAGGAAGAGGUAAAAUAAAUCAGCGUUUACUGUUUCCUUCUCCAUCCCCGGAAGUCCUGAUGAAGACCCUCUCAGAGUUGCAGCACACACAGAAUCCCAGCUGGAUUACAGACUUGAACCUGAAGACCUUAUGCAGAAUGACAAUUUAUGAACCACUAAGCUCAGUACUAAAGCAGCUUAAAUACAGACCAGAAGAGGAGUUUGGGGCUUGACACCUGACAUCUUAACACCAGUUCCUGUUUCUUGAGGAAGGAAGAGGUAAAAUAAAUCAGCAUUUACUGUGUCCUUCUCCAUCCCCGGAAGUCUUCAUGAAGACCCUCUCAGCUUCUACUUGAACGUGAAUAUGAGCAACUGAUCAUCUGUUCUGCAGUCAGCCCCUGGCCUGAUUCUGACUCAUGGUAUUGACCUUCUCCAUCAUCACCUUCCACAAAUUUGAUUCCUAUCUAUUCUGCCUGGAAUGGUUCACGAGUAUAGUCACCAUUUAUGUUCCUGACGAAAGGUAUGUGCAAUGAAUAAGUCAUUGGUCUUGCCAAAUUCUAUCAGGUAAGCUUCAUUGUCAUUUCUAUCAUCAAUACCUUAUUUUCCAACUGCUGAUUUGUCUGCUUUGUUUUCAACUUCGCAUUCUAAUUACGUAAUUAUCAGUACAUCUUGAUUGAUGAAUGCAUCACGUUUGAUCAGUUUCAAACUGCGGAACUUGGUAAAAACCUUCAACUUCUUCAUCUUUCACAUUCAUAAUGUGUGUGUAAAUUUGAAUAAUAGUCUUAUUAACUGGUCUUCCUGGUAGGCCUGUGAAUAUUAUCCUAUUGUUCGUAGUGUUCUACUUCAGAAAAGAUCUUGAAAUGUUCUUUUUAUCGAUGAAUAUGAUGCCGUUCUCUUUAGUAUCUCAAUCCUGGCAUAGUAGAACAUAUCAUUGUCUAGUUUAAAAGGUCCAAAACCAAGCUAUUUCAGCUAACUAAUGCCUUGGAUUACUGACCUUUAUGCAUUCCAUUUCAUUUUUGAUGACUUCCAAUUUCCCUAGAUUCAUACUUCCUUCAUUCCACGUUCUGAUUAUUAAAGGAUAUUUGCAUCAGUUUCUUCUCAUUAUGAGUUGUGCCCCAUCAGGAAACGUCAUUAAAGUGGGAUCUACUUUGAGGAGGUAGCUCUUCCCCACUUGUAUUUUGAGUGCCUUCCAACCUAAGGGGUUAUCCUCUGUCAUUCCAUCAGACAGUGUUCCAGUACUAUUUGUAAGAUUUCACUGGCCAGUUGUUUUUAGAAAUAGGUCACUAGGUCCUUUUUCCUAGUCUGUCUAAAUCCAGAGCUCCACUCAAACCAGUCUACCAUCGGUGAACCUGGUGGUAUUUGAAAUACCGGUGGCAUAGCUUCUAACAUCACAGCAACAUGCAAGCCACCACACUACAACAAACUGACAGAAGAGUGGUGGGAGUUAAAAAUAAGAAGAACCAAAAAGAGUGCUUCUUCCAUGUCUGCUGAUUUAGAGGAACCAUGAAAAAUUGUCAAGUGAAGAGUGAUUCAGAGAAAAACAUGGGUAGAAUGUGACCUAAUUUCCAUAAAAACAAACAAAUGAAUGUACUUACAUGUGUCCCGGCAAAAAGAAGUAUGUAAAAGGGUACAUAUGUAUCUUUGGACACUGGACACUUUGGGGGAGCAGGUACAAUAUACUUAUGUGGGGAUGGCUCUUAUUAUAACUUCUGUAUACAAAUAUCUGUUGUUAAAUGUGUUAUAAGAAUGUAAAACCUUUUAAAGUUUAAUAACAUCAUACGUGUAUGUGUGUGUAUUUGAAACUUUUUUUUUUUUUUUACUAUUUUAUAUAUGUGUUUUUUAGUUAUCUAGUGUGGCUAUAGCAGAGAUAGCACAAGUGGAUGGCUUUAACAAACAGAAACUUAUUCUCUCACAGUUUAAGAAGCAAGAAGUUUGAAGUCAGGGCGCCAGCUCUCAGAGAAAGCUUUCUCUCUUUGUGGCUCUGGGGGAAAGUCCUUGUCAUCCAUCUUCCCCUGGCCUAGGAAAUUCUCAGCGCCUGGACGCUGGGUCAAAAGGACAUGCUCCACUCC